UACGUAGGGGGCAAGCGUUGUCCGGAAUCAUUGGGCGUAAAGAGCGUGUAGGCGGCCUGGUAAGUCCGCUGUGAAAGUCCAGGGCUCAACCCUGGAAUGCCGGUGGAAACUGUCAGGCUCGAGUCCGGAAGAGGCGAGUGGAAUUCCUGGUGUAGCGGUGAAAUGCGUAGAUAUCAAGUGGAACACCAGUGGCGAAGGCGAGUCUCUGGACAUUUCCUGACGCUGAGGCACGAAAGCCAGGGGAGCAAACGGG
rnacentral:rRNA from 1 species